rnacentral:lncRNA from 1 species
UUAGAGAAGGGCAGUUGCCUGAUCUUGGGAACCUGGAGCAAAUGCUCCUUCUGUCACAUCAAUUCUUUACCCUGCGAUUGAGGUGCUCUUGCUACUGGGUGUCCGUGUGCUCUAAUUCUGGUUUUGGAUAUGUUCUGUAAAGAUUUUGAUAAUUGAUAAUGUAUUUUUCUCUGUUAAAAUUUGUUAGUGUGUUAGAAGUCAUAUCUCUGUAGGUACAGGUCCUUUGCUACUCAUGAGUAGAGGGAUUUUUUUUCUUCAAUUAAGAGUUUGACACUGGGGUCUGUUGCCCGGAGCCCAUCCAGAAAAAUCCACAUUCGUCACUAUUUUUCUGAAAUUUCAGUCAAGGUAACAAAUCACUGGGAGUUCUUCUCUUACCCCUCAAAAAAGUAGAUAAUUGAAUUUAGUAGGUGGUGUUUUAGAGCAAACAAAACAAAACAAAAACAAAAAACAGCCUUUGACCCAGCUUUAAUAUGACCCAGUUUAAUCUGGCCAGGAAGCAGGUAAUCUGUAUUAAUUGGUUUCCAAUCCUGGUUGAGUGUGGCAAGGUUCUAUUUUGUUUCCUAGUUCCUUUUGUCACUUGGCCUUUCACGGAAUGACAGGAGAAGCUGUGAAAUGGGCAGCACUGGUAGCCUGGAACAGUUUCCAUGUGAGCUACUCAGUAAGACCGGCAUUCAGCAGAUACUAUUGGCCAAAAACAACUGGAGCACACACAUAUACAUAACCUAAAGGAAAAACAAGCCUGAAAUGCAGCUGUUUGUCUGCAGACACUCUACGGAUCUGCUGCCUCACAGUUUGAGUCAUUGUAUUCUACAUAACAGACUGACCAGGUUAGCAUUAUCUUACAGCAUUAGCACCUGGUACUAACUGUCCUGCAAAGAAUUGCCUAUGGGGUUGUCCUAUAAGCCACUUCUGUCACUGAAAGCAGCCACUAACAGAAUCUCCCAGGUUUAAAAAAAAAGAAAAAAGAAAAAAAAAAAGAUCCUUCACUACUCUGUAACACACACCCCUGCUUUCCUCUAGACAGAUAGACCGGACAUUGAUUAGAGAAUACAUUGCAGAUGACAUGCUUAAACUGCCCUUGAGAUUAAUUUCGCAGUAGGAGGGAAUAGACAAUGUAACCAGAGAUAAGAAUUAAAUCUGGAUGCGGAGAGAGCAAGAAGGAAAGCAUUAUUCAAAUUUUUUUCAAAAGAAACCAAUUUAUUUCGCUUGAAACUUCUUUCGAUGGGGCUUCAGUUCUCACAGCGGCACUUGGCCUCCACUGGGCAGCAGGACCAGCCCCAAGCGCUAGUGUUCUGUUCUCUUUUUGUAAUCUUGGAAUCUUUUGUUGCUCUAAAUACAAUUAAAAAUGGCAGAAACUUGUUUGUUGGAAUACAUGUGUGACUCUUGGUUUGUCUCUGCGUCUGGUUUUAGAAAUGUCAUCCAUUGUGUUAAAUAUUGGCUUGUCGAUCUGCCAGCUAAAACUUGGCCACAGCCCCUGUUGUGACUGCAGGCUCAAGUUAUUGUUAACAAAGAGCCCCGAGAAAAGCUGCUAAUGUCCUCUUAUCACCAUUGUUAAUUUGUUAAAACAUAAAACAAUCUAAAAUUUC